rnacentral:rRNA from 1 species
GAUGAACGCUAGCUACAGGCUUAACACAUGCAAGUCGAGGGGUAACGAGAGGAAAGCUUGCUUUCCUUGUCGACGACCGGCGCACGGGUGAGUAACGCGUAUCCAACCUGCCCCCAACUAGGGAAUAACCUUGCGAAAGUAAGACUAAUACCCUAUAAUUUCCUCAGAUGUCAUCUGACGAGGAAUAAAGAUUUAUCGGUUGUGGAUGGGGAUGCGUCCGAUUAGCUUGUUGGCGGGGUAACGGCCCUCCAAGGCAACGAUCAGUAGGGGUUCUGAGAGGAAGGUCCCCCACAUUGGAACUGAGACGCGGUCCAAACUCCUACGGGAGGCAGCAGUGAGGAAUAUUGGUCAAUGGGCGGAAGCCUGAACCAGCCAAGUAGCGUGCAGGAUGACGGCCCUGUGGGUUGUAAACUGCUUUUAUACAGGAAUAAAGUUAGCCACGUGUGGUUAUUUGUAGGUACUGUAUGAAUAAGGACCGGCUAAUUCCGUGCCAGCCGCCGCAGUAA